rnacentral:rRNA from 1 species
CUAACACAUGCAAGUCGAACGCGAAAGUCCUUCGGGAUGAGUAGAGUGGCGGACGGGUGAGUAACGCGUAGGAAUCUGUCCUGUAGUGGGGGAUAACGUUUCGAAAGGGACGCUAAUACCGCAUACGCCCUACGGGGGAAAGCGGGGGAUCUUCGGACCUCGUGCUAUAGGAGGAGCCUGCGUCGGAUUAGCUAGUUGGUGAGGUAAAGGCUCACCAAGGCGACGAUCCGUAGCUGGUCUGAGAGGAUGAUCAGCCACACCGGAACUGAGACACGGUCCGGACUCCUACGGGAGGCAGCAGUGGGGAAUAUUGCGCAAUGGGCGAAAGCCUGACGCAGCCAUACCGCGUGUGUGAAGAAGGCCUUCGGGUUGUAAAGCACUUUCAGUGGGGAGGAAAAGCUGGUGGCUAAUAUCCAUCGGCCGUGACGCUACCCACAGAAGAAGCACCGGCUAAUUCCGUGCCAGCAGCCGCGGUAAUACGUAGGGUGCGAGCGUUAAUCGGAAUUACUGGGCGUAAAGCGUGCGCAGGCGGUUUUGUAAGACAGUGGUGAAAUCCCCGGGCUCAACCUGGGAACUGCCAUUGUGACUGCAAGGCUAGAGUGCGGCAGAGGGGGAUGGAAUUCCGCGUGUAGCAGUGAAAUGCGUAGAUAUGCGGAGGAACACCGAUGGCGAAGGCAGCCCCCUGGGCCAGCACUGACGCUCAUGCACGAAAGCGUGGGGAGCAAACAGGAUUAGAUACCCUGGUAGUCCACGCCCUAAACGAUGUCAACUAGGUGUUUGGGGAAGGAGACUUUCUUAGUACCGCAGCUAACGCGUGAAGUUGACCGCCUGGGGAGUACGGUCGCAAGAUUAAAACUCAAAGGAAUUGACGGGGACCCGCACAAGCGGUGGAUGAUGUGGAUUAAUUCGAUGCAACGCGAAAAACCUUACCUACCCUUGACAUGCCAGGAAUCCUGAAGAGAUUUGGGAGUGCCCGAAAGGGAACCUGGACACAGGUGCUGCAUGGCUGUCGUCAGCUCGUGUCGUGAGAUGUUGGGUUAAGUCCCGCAACGAGCGCAACCCUUGUCGUUAAUUGCCAUCAUUUAGUUGGGCACUUUAGCGAGACUGCCGGUGACAAACCGGAGGAAGGUGGGGAUGACGUCAAGUCCUCAUGGCCCUUAUGGGUAGGGCUUCACACGUCAUACAAUGGUCGGUACAGAGGGUUGCCAACCCGCGAGGGGGAGCCAAUCCCAGAAAGCCGAUCGUAGUCCGGAUUGUAGUCUGCAACUCGACUGCAUGAAGUCGGAAUCGCUAGUAAUCGCGGAUCAGCAUGCCGCGGUGAAUACGUUCCCGGGUCUUGUACACACCGCCCGUCACACCAUGGGAGCGGGUUUCACCAGAAGUAGGUAGUCUAACCGCAAGGGGGGCGCUUACCACGGUGAGAUUCGUGACUGGGGUGAAGUCGUA